GAUAGUCCAGGAACUCAGAAGCAUUUCCAGCUUUGUAAGUUUGUGUGAUAGUUGAGUCAGACCAAAGGAGUUAACAGAAGAAUUCGAGAAACACUAGCCCCAGUAUCUUGAAAUGAAUGGCAAGACACAGAAGCCUACAGCCAAAGGUAGAGAAGAGAGUCUAAAAACUCAAAACGUAUCUAAAAGCUGUGAAGUAGAAGGCCUAGAGACUGCAAGGAAUGAUGAGGACUGCCGUGAACUCUGAAGUGCAUAAUCAUGUGAAAAAAACAAGUGCUAUUUGGAAGAAACAGAUUGUGUUAAUGUGGAAGUAGCUGGAUGCCAGUUUUCUGAGAUUUGUCCAAACAUGGGUGAGUUUACAUGUUGCUAAAGGAUUUUGCAAACGUCAAAAUGUUUUUGUUUAUUAGUUAAGACAUACAAUUCAAAACUCUUUGGC